GGCUAACGCUGGCGGCGUGUCUUAGCCAUGCAAGUCGAGCGGACUUAUGGGGUAACUUAUAAGUCAGCGGCGGACGGCGGAGUAACACGUAGCUAACCUACCCUCUGGACGGGGAUAACCUACCGAAAGGUGGGCUAAUACCCGAUGUAGUCAUCCUGUAUAGGGGUGAUGAAAGGUGGGCUUCUGUUUACAAGCUCAUGCUGGAGGAGGGGGCUGCGGCCUAUCAGGUAGUUGGUAGGGUAAUAGCCUACCAAGCCGAUGACGGGUAGCCGGCCUGAGAGGGUGACCGGCCCGAGGGGCACUGAGAUACGGGUCCCACUCCUACGGGAGGCAGCAGGCUAGAAAUUUGGGCAAUGGGGGAAACCCUGACCCAGUGACGCCGCGUGCAGGAAGGAGCCCUUCGGGUGGUAAACUAGCUGUCGUGUAGGGAGGAAGGGUACGUAAGGUAGGAACAAUCUUAGUACUUGACGGUACUACAGAGGAAGCCACGGCUAACCUACGUGCCAGCAGCCGCGGUAAAACUAAGACGUACU
rnacentral:rRNA from 1 species